CACGAACGCUGGCGGCAGGCUUAACACAUGCAAGUCGAGCGCCCCGCAAGGGGAGCGGCAGACGGGUGAGUAACGCGUGGGAAUCUACCCAUCUCUACGGAAUAACGCAUGGAAACGUGUGCUAAUACCGUAUACGUCCUUCGGGAGAAAGAUUUAUCGGAGAUGGAUGAGCCCGCGUUGGAUUAGCUAGUUGGUGGGGUAAAGGCCUACCAAGGCGACGAUCCAUAGCUGGUCUGAGAGGAUGAUCAGCCACACUGGGACUGAGACACGGCCCAGACUCCUACGGGAGGCAGCAGUGGGGAAUCUUGGACAAUGGGCGCAAGCCUGAUCCAGCCAUGCCGCGUGAGUGAAGAAGGCCUUAGGGUUGUAAAGCUCUUUUACCAGGGACGAUAAUGACGGUACCUGGAGAAUAAGCCCCGGCAAACUUCGUGCCAGCCGCCGCAGUAAUAC
rnacentral:rRNA from 1 species